CAUGCAAGUCGAACGGAAAGGCCCUUCGGGGUACUCGAGUGGCGAACGGGUGAGUAACACGUGGGUGAUCUGCCCUGCACUUUGGGAUAAGCCUGGGAAACUGGGUCUAAUACCGAAUAGGACCGCGCUCUUCAUGGGGUGUGGUGGAAAGCUUUUGCGGUGUGGGAUGGGCCCGCGGCCUAUCAGCUUGUUGGUGGGGUAAUGGCCUACCAAGGCGACGACGGGUAGCCGGCCUGAGAGGGUGACCGGCCACACUGGGACUGAGAUACGGCCCAGACUCCUACGGGAGGCAGCAGUGGGGAAUAUUGCACAAUGGGCGCAAGCCUGAUGCAGCGACGCCGCGUGAGGGAUGACGGCCUUCGGGUUGUAAACCUCUUUCAAUAGGGACGAAGCGCAAGUGACGGUACCUAUAGAAGAAGGACCGGCCAACUACGUGCCAGCAGCCGCGGUAAUACGUAGGGUCCGAGCGUUGUCCGGAAUUACUGGGCGUAAAGAGCUCGUAGGUGGUUUGUCGCGUUGUUCGUGAAAACUCACA
rnacentral:rRNA from 1 species